GACGAACGCUGGCGGCGUGCUUAACACAUGCAAGUCGAACGGAAAGGCCCUGCUUGCAGGGUGCUCGAGUAGCGAACGGGUGAGUAACACGUGGGUGAUCUGCCCCUUACUUUGGGAUAAGCCUGGGAAACUGGGUCUAAUACUGGAUAGGACCAUGCUGUAGGUGGUGUGGUGGAAAGAUUAGUUUCGGUAAGGGGUGAGCUCGCGGCCUAUCAGCUUGUUGGUGGGGUACUGGCCUACCAAGGCGUCGACGGGUAGCCGGCCUGAGAGGGUGGACGGCCACAUUGGGACUGAGAUACGGCCCAGACUCCUACGGGAGGCAGCAGUGGGGAAUAUUGCACAAUGAGCGCAAGCCGGAUGCAGCGACGACGCGGGGGGGAUGACGGCCUUCGGGUUGUAGACUCCUUUCAGCCAUGACGAAGCCCUUGUGGUGACGGUAGUGGUAGAAGAAGCACCGGCUAACUACGUG
rnacentral:rRNA from 1 species